rnacentral:rRNA from 1 species
GGAGGCAGCAGUGGGGAAUAUUGCACAAUGGGGGAAACCCUGAUGCAGCGACGCCGCGUGAGCGAUGAAGGUUUUCGAAUCGUAAAGCUCUGUCCUAUGGGAAGAAUAAUGACGGUACCAUAGGAGGAAGCCCCGGCUAACUACGUGCCAGCAGCCGCGGUAAUACGUAGGGGGCGAGCGUUGUCCGGAAUUAUUGGGCGUAAAGGGUGCGUAGGCGGCCUAGUAAGUCAGAUGUGAAAGCCAUCGGCUCAACCGAUGUAAGCAUUUGAAACUGCAAGGCUUGAGUGCAGGAGAGGAGAGUGGAAUUCCUAGUGUAGCGGUGAAAUGCGUAGAUAUUAGGAGGAACACCAGUGGCGAAGGCGACUCUCUGGACUGUAACUGACGCUGAGGCACGAAAGCGUGGGGAGCGAACAGGAUUAGAUACCCUGGUAGUCCACGCCGUAAACGAUGAGUGCUAGGUGUCGGAGUCGACAGGCUUCGGUGCCGC